GAAGAUAGAGGAGUCUGGUAGCUCACAAGUCUCAUAACCUUAGGGUUGUGGGUUCGAUUCCCACUACC
rnacentral:tRNA from 1 species